GUCACGGUGAUGGCUCUGUUCCAACAUUGUGGUUUAUUUUCUUAGUCUUUCGAUGAGCCCAAAGUCAGGGUUUGGCUGGGACUCGGGAGAGUCGAUGGAAAGCUAUCGGGGAUGUGGUAAGGAAAACAACUGUGUGCCAUCCAUGUCUCAUGCAACACCCAAGGAGCUCUGGAUUUGGAAGGGGGAAUCCCACUGAAGCUGGCAUUUCCUUGAACUGUGUUUGACUUCAAUCUCCUGGCUCUGGGGUUGUGUAGAAGACUCUGUUUCUAUGAGUAGAGGCAAGACUUUCAUAUUGGACUGAAACAUAAGGAUGGAGACAGAGAUUGACUGGAAGAAUAAGAUUUGGGGACAAAAAUGCCAGGCCUGGUAGGUCACACAGGUACCAGCUUCUUACUACAUAAAGGGAUUGUGACUUUACAUCCAGUAAAGUGUGUGUGGCACUCAGAUAAUGUGGAGACAAGCAUCACAGGAAAGCCUAUACCGGUGUUAAUAGCUCUGUCUCUCAAGUUUUACCUCUCAAAUACCUACAGAUUCAAGGAGAGGGGAUUUCAUGGCAUUUGCACACUGAGCAGUGGAGAUAAAAUAUAACUGCUCUCUAGGAGGGCACAUUCCAAACUGCUGCUCAUGGCUCACCGCCCUGAAGGAAGGUUUAGGAGACAGCAGGCAUUCUCCUGCUCCUGAAGAUUUACCAUUGCUCAUUUGC